GACGAACGCUGGCGGCGUGCUUAACACAUGCAAGUCGAACGGAAAGGCCCUGCUUUUGUGGGGUGCUCGAGUGGCGAACGGGUGAGUAACACGUGAGUAACCUGCCCUUGACUUUGGGAUAACUUCAGGAAACUGGGGCUAAUACCGGAUAGGAGCUCCUGCUGCAUGGUGGGGGUUGGAAAGUUUCGGCGGUUGUGGAUGGACUCGCGGUUUAUCAGCUUGUUGGUGGGGUAGUGGCUUACCAAGGCUUAGACGGGUAGCCGGCCUGAGAGGGUGACCGGCCGCAUUAGGCCUGGGAUACGGCCCAAACUCCUACGGGAGGAGGCAGUGGCAGAUAUUGCACAACAAGCGGAAGCCUAAUGCAGCAACGCCGCCUGCGGGAUGAAGGCCUUCGGGGUGUAAACCGCUUUCGCAUGUGACGAAGCGUGAGUGACGGUAAUGGGUAAAGAAGCACCGGCUAACUACGUG
rnacentral:rRNA from 1 species